CAUAUCGGGGGUGCACUGGCACAGAGGAAAGGCCAUGUGAAGCAAGAAGGCAGCCAUCUGCAAGCCAAGGAGAGAAAUUUCAGAAGGAACCAACCCUACCGACAUCUUGAUCUUGGACUUUAAGCUGCCAGACCUAACAUCCUGAUAUCUUUCCAGAGAUAGCUUCACACAUAAGGAACCACCUUAGCAUCCUUCACUCAAUGCUGAAAGUGAGCAUCUGGUCUGCCUUUGGGCCAAUGCUAAAUCUCUUCAACAGCAUCCUUUACCGAAGCAACAUUGUCCCAGAAUCUGCUGAAGCAGCAAGAAAAGAGGUCAGCAGUAGGACCAAGCUGCAUAUCUUCUUAGGCAGGAGUGCAUCACUAUUGAGGCCAAAUGGACACUCACUAGCAAGGUGGCUGGAAACAACUGUUCCAGAAAGAACCCAAGGAAAAAUUUCCAGGAGGAACCCAAACAGAAAAAUCUAGGACUGGGAAGCUAAGGGAUUUGCCAAGGCAUGGGGAAAAGAGGAUCUUUAUGUUUGAAGAAUGAUAGAAAAAAUAAAGCUGUUCAUUAUUACAUUCUACCAUGUUUAGCCAAUUAAACAGGUUUUACUGGGUUUAUACAUUUUCUACAGAAAAUGCACCCCAUCAUUGCUUAUAGCCCACCCACGUGGACUGCUCAUUCUGUGAAUCAUGUUUUACAGGUGCGUUUUGGCUACUGAAAGCUUGGAGUCAAACCUGUAUGCCUCUUCCUUUGUCUGCCAAUAUAUUUUGUAUAUUAGGCCUCGGCCCUGGCUCCAAUUUAGAUUACCAUUUUUUCCCCUACUUUGUCCCUCUCUUUGACCUUUUAACUUACUUCUAUUCUUUGUGUGCAGAACUUUGUAAGCCCUGUUAGAUCCUUGCUGCAGCAAUGUACAUAAGCAAUGUAAUAAACAGAAAGGAUGAGAUAUUCAAUGCCCAUAUCAAAUCAUCCUGUGUGUGUAGAAUCACAAGUGCAUUUCAUUAUAGACACAAGACAUAAUUUUGCACAUUUCAAAAUGCAGUAAACGAUUCCUAGAAUGCUAUUUUAGAAGCUUUCCUUAGGAAACAGCACCACGUGGCAUAACUCACCUACCCCAGUAGUGUGAUCUCCCUUUGGUCCUGUGUAGGAAGUGGGAGUUUCUCCCCUCCUCCUGUGCCAGCUGCUCCGGUUUCUUUUCUCCUGAGUAAAUGUACAUUCAUCUUGCUCGAAAGUACACUCUCCAGGUGGAGGUGGAAGUUUCUCUGCAAGAAAAUAGCAGAUGUUGCAAUCACUGAGACUCUUUCAAUGACUCUGUGUUGCUAGCAGCCCACUCUGCAUGUAUGAAUGUUGUCUGGCCAUAUGCCAUGCGAUGGAGAGGCAGCCCCCACUGGUGGCCCACCUACACGGAGCCACUGCUUCCAGCUAGAGGCUGCAUUCCACUGCGGGUCCUGCCACAGACAUAGAGAACAAUCAGAUAUACAGAUCUAAAAUACUGGGCUACUUUGAGAAAAAAACUUUCUCUGACUUGUGAAUUUUUGUGAAUUUCUUUUUAUAAAGCUCUGGAAAUUAUAGGUAUAUUGCCUUUAUGAAAAUAUGGAAAAUAAUAAAAUUUCAUAAUGCAGGCACUUUCUUCAGAAAUCCUGGAUGAGUGAAGGGUAUCCUCAUAACAACUCCACAGUUGCUUUGUAGGUAGGGGAGAAUGUGAGAGUGCUAAAUGGACUCCUGGAGGCAUAGCUGUGUGGAACAAAUGACUUCACUUCUCUGUGCCUUAGAGUUCUUAUCUCUAAUGUGGGAAUAUUGAUGGUAGUCACUUCAUGGGUCUGUGAGGAUUAAAUGAGAUGGUAUAUGUAAAGUGAUCAUUUUUAAUGUGAAGUUCUCAAUAAUUAAAUUUUAGAACUUAUUUUGCCACCCAGAGGUUUAUUUUCCUUUUCCCAAAUCCAAUGUUUAUGUCUUUGAAUGCUAUCUUCAAUAACAUUCAUAAUUAUUAGAAUGGUGCUUCUUCCCAAUUUAUUGGGGACUUUUCCUUUGACUAAACUUGGUUGUACCUCCCUAUAUCCAGAUUCUUAGCCAAAUUUUUCUAAUAAAUAGCUUGUUUCAGAUUUGUUUAUGUGGCAUUCCUCGUUUGAAUAAAGCAGAACCAAAUGUCUUGGUUUGAAGAUUGAGAUGAAAUGGGAGGGCCACAAAUAGUAAUUUAUCUUUGAGCAUCGUAUAGAUAAACAUGUAACCUGAUACUAAACAAAAGUAAAUGCUCAUGGACUGUCAGUGAUGUGGUGGGAUAUGCCAGAGGGAAGUGAUUUGUGGACUCACUGGAGAGAGACUUCUACUAGAGAAAUUGCCUUGAUGUUAGGAAUUAAAAAAACAAAACAAAACAAAAAACAUGGAGCCGUAUUCUCCAGAAGCUUACAUCUGAUUUAACGAGACAGGUAAGUACAAUUUCAACAUAAUGCAUUAAGUGCUAUGAGAGUAGUAUGAUGGUGAUAGGUGCUAUACAAGACAAGGGUUCUAGGUUAAUUGCUUUGAGAAAAUUGCCACCCUUUAACAAGGUUAAACUGGAUUCUUUAACGUCAACCUUACUGAGAGUUUCUAAUAUGUCACUGUGCUUUGUGAAUCUUCAUGUGUGUGGAGUAGAGAUCCAGUCUGCCAAGUUCUGCAAACUCAUCUGACAACAGAACUCUUUUUCAAUGGAAUAUCUCAAGGCAUUUGUGCUCCACGAGACAUAAGAUGAGAAGGGCUGACACAAGAUUCUCACCUAGUGAAAAAAAAAUAUGUAUUUAUAUUUUUAAAAACUGGUUGGAUGGGGGCUUUCUCCCAAAUACAUAAAUGACUUUGAAGUUUUUUUUUUCAGUCCUAUGACAGAGUAAAGAUGCAGACUUAAAAGGAUUUACCAUGAAGAUUUUAAUGACUGCUGGGCUGAUUAUUAAGCCUGAUCCCAGUGAAAUGGAAUGCCUUUAGUCAUUUUCAUUUAUGGACUGUUUAACGAUUUUUCUCCAAAAGAAAUAUUUAAUGAACACAAUAUCGAGUUCCUCCCAGUGCUUCUAAUUAACAGACCACUGAACGAUCUUUGUUAAAGGAAAGGCUAGCUUCAGGCCAGAAGGCGUUGCAGGAUCUAAUAUGUAUGCUACCAUGGGUGACCAAGCAUAAAGAUAAACUAAGGAUUUGAAUAUAUAAGGGCUAAUGUUUGUGUCCAUUGUUAUGGAAUUUCUGACAAUCACUCUCUAGUCUUUCCUAAUAUUUGGCCUUUAGGAAAAGUGUUUUGGACUGAAUUGUUCUCUCUCCUCAUUAUCCUCCUUAAUGUGUGAAAGUCUCAAUGUAACUGUUGAUUACCUGCUCUCUAUUUCAUAAAGAGGAAAAACAGAUCCAGAGGACCAUUUCAUGAUUCAUCCUUUUUCAAAACGUUUCUUAAAACAUUAAAUAAAGUUUUAUUAUUGUAAACUGU
rnacentral:lncRNA from 10 species